CCACAGUUUAUACUAAACCUACUACCACCCCCAUUGUCAUUCCCAGAUGGUCCUUUGACUCUUGGACAUUUAAAAAAUCUGCAUUUACUUCCUAUUUUCGAAAAUGCCUCACACACUAUAGUAACGAUUCUCUCCUCAGAUCAGAGCUAGACACAAUCUACACAAUUGACUGCAAACACGGCUAUAGUGACAAGUGUAUGCAAUGUCAUUUAAAAAAAAAUUAAGGCGGAAUAUUAAAAAUUAAGGUGAAAUAGAUUAGCUUCCUCGGAUGAACCUAACCCCUCCCACCCUAGUGGCCUGACUCUAAUGCAUCAUCUUGGCUUCCUGUACCUUUUAGGCUAUACAAAAGUAACACCAUUAAAUCCACCCUUAGAUUUAUCAAUAAAGAGUGAACAUUUAAGAGAGCUCCUACUGUCUUUGAUUUGGUUUGGAAUGACAAGACUAAGAGAGCUAACGACCUUAAGUCAGGAAUAUAUAAGAUUCCCCUGCACAACUUGGACGAUAACCGCACAGAGAUCUAUGUAGGAGCUACAGCCAGAAGUUUUAGAGGCGGAGUUUCCA
rnacentral:lncRNA from 1 species